AUUGAAAAAGGUUGCGCUGUGCUAGAGGCUGUGUUGUCUCAAUUACUAUGUAAGACCAAGCAAGUGUAGUGUGGAAGGAUGAAGAUAUUUACAAAGUGAGGACCCUGGCCCCCUGCUGAGUUCCUUAGUUAAACUUCAAAAUUUCUCCAACUUGACACAAGGGUUUUUUGAAUAAUAUGGCCCAGAGAUAAGUAAUGGUCAGCUUCACUGUAGAAGGAUCACAAGGAGAGGGAAAACCUGAUCCCAGAAUGCAGCAGUUGCAGAGGAGAAAACUGCUCUCCAGCAGGAGCACCAAAUCCACCAGUCUCAAGGAUAAAAAGACAAUGAAGACCAAAAGCUUUACCAGUGUGCGUCUCCAGACCUUAGCAAAACAUGUCUCCAAAGACAAAAACUGUGAUUAACUCCAACUGCAUUGCCAGGCAGAAAAUCAACAAUGAAAGAACUUGAAUGGCUGCUUUUUAAAUUUUCUGAGAGGGAAACAGACUUGUAUGACAGCUUGGAGAUGCCCUUUAAACUUUAGAGUUUGGGGCCCAUAUAUGUGUGUGCUACUGCCUUUGUAAAAAUAGUGAUGGGGGUCCCUUUUUCGAGAUAAAUUUGUCCCAGUUUAGCAUAA